GGUGUGUACUGGUCUUGAUGGAAGCUUACCUCUUGGUGGGUCGGCAUGCCCUUCGUUGGGUGUGUCGAUUAACCAGGACUUUUACUUUGAGAAAAUUAGAGUGUUCAAAGCACGCUUUCGCCCAGCAUACAUUAGCAUGGAAUAAUAGAAUAGGACGCGCGUCUUUAUUUUGUUGGUUUCUAAUUCGCCGUAAUGAUUAUAGGGAUAGUCGGGGGCAUUCGUAUUGCUUGGUCAGAGGUGAAAUUCUUGGAUUCUAGCAAGACGAACUACUGCGAAAGCAUUUGCCAAGGAUGUUUUCAUUGAUCAAGAACGAAGGUUAGGGGAUCGAAAACGAUCAGAUACCGUUGUAGUCUUAACAGUAAACUAUGCCGACUAGGGAUCGGACAAGCACAAUCUAUGACUUGUUCGGCACCUGAAGAGAAAUCUUUAAGUCUAGGUUCGGGGGGGAGUAUGGUCGCAAGGCUGAAACUUAAAGGAAUUGACGGAAGGACACCACCAGGUGUGGAGCCUGCGGCUUAAUUUGACUCAACACGGGGAAACUCACCAGGUCCAGACACAAUAAGGAUUGACAGAUUGAUAGCUCUUUCUUGAUCUUGUGGUUGGUGGUGCAUGGCCGUUCUUAGUUGGUGGAGUGAUUUGUCUGGUUAAUUCCGAUAACGAACGAGACCUUAACCUGCUAAAUAGACCCGGGGCCUUAGGGAACCGGCUGUCUUCUUAGAGGGACUGUAGG
rnacentral:rRNA from 1 species